UUGUCUGGACGGCACACAGUAGGCUAGGCCACUCCAUUCUUGCCUCUCAAUGCCGUGUCUUUUCCAGUCCAUAGGAAGCUUCUCCUUAUACUGUCAAUCUGCUUAAGGACCCAUGGAGGUAAGUUGUCUGCCAUCAUCAAAUAGAUCGGGAUUGCAGACAGGGUCAAUUUGACCAAUGUUAGCCUUCCACUUUUGUGCAUCAAGGGCCCUUGCCAAGCUGGCAACUUGGCUGCCACCUUGUCAAUCAAAGGCUGAUACUGGUUCUUGGGCAACCUUCUAGUAGACAGAGAGAUUCCCAAAUAUUUGAUUGGGAAUUGCUCCACAACACAUGGCAGAGCCAAUUGGAAGUUAGCUGGUGUUGUCU
rnacentral:lncRNA from 1 species